rnacentral:rRNA from 2 species
UGGGGAAUAUUGGACAAUGGGCGAAAGCCUGAUCCAGCCAUGCCGCGUGAGUGAUGAAGGCCCUAGGGUUGUAAAGCUCUUUCAGUGGGGAAGAUAAUGACGGUACCCACAGAAGAAGCCCCGGCUAACUUCGUGCCAGCAGCCGCGGUAAUACGAAGGGGGCUAGCGUUGUUCGGAUUUACUGGGCGUAAAGCGCACGUAGGCGGAUUGUUAAGUUAGAGGUGAAAUCCCGGGGCUCAACCCCGGAACUGCCUUUGAUACUGGCAAUCUCGAGUCCGGAAGAGGUGAGUGGAAUUCCGAGUGUAGAGGUGAAAUUCGUAGAUAUUCGGAGGAACACCAGUGGCGAAGGCGGCUCACUGGUCCGGUACUGACGCUGAGGUGCGAAAGCGUGGGGAGCAAACAGG